ACGUAGGGGGCAAGCGUUAUCCGGAUUUACUGGGUGUAAAGGGAGCGUAGACGGUUUUGCAAGUCUGAAGUGAAAACCCGGGGCUUAACCCCGGGACUGCUUUGGAAACUGUAGAACUAGAGUGCAGGAGAGGUAAGUGGAAUUCCUAGUGUAGCGGUGAAAUGCGUAGAUAUUAGGAGGAACACCAGUGGCGAAGGCGGCUUACUGGACUGUAACUGACGUUGAGGCUCGAAAGCGUGGGGAGCAAACAG
rnacentral:rRNA from 1 species